UACGUAGGGGGCGAGCGUUGUCCGGAAUUAUUGGGCGUAAAGAGCUCGUAGGCGGUUUGUCACGUCUUCUGUGAAAUCCCGAGGCUCAACCUCGGGCCUGCAGUGGGUACGGGCAGACUGGAGUGCGGUAGGGGAGAAUGGAAUUCCUGGUGUAGCGGUGGAAUGCGCAGAUAUCAGGAGGAACACCGAUGGCGAAGGCAGUUCUCUGGGCCGUAACUGACGCUGAGGAGCGAAAGCGUGGGGAGCGAACAGG
rnacentral:rRNA from 1 species